rnacentral:lncRNA from 1 species
CGGUUGUACUUCGUCAUGAUCAAGCUCUAAUCAAGCUUGCUCAUGGGAUGGCUCUGGUAAUCUACUUCUAAUUCAUUAUGUAAUUACUAAUCAUGUAUGUUCUAUUUCACAACUCUUUUGAGUACUUUAAUCUAUAGGACGCUAUAGGUGAGAGUUGUAGUAUAGGUGUAAGCGAGGUGCUUAGAUCUAGAUUACUUGUGGAUAUCCCCUGUCUAGCUGGAUCGUGUGGUAGGCCGCGUAGGUGACAGUUACGUUGGUCCUCUGUAGUCCACCUCUCGUUAGCAGGACGGGUAGGGUUUACGGCCUAUUGAUAAGCAUCCUUUGUGGUGUAUUCUUAUCACGUGGUUCGUCCCAGACAUAGACAUACCCCUUUGAAGUAGAGAAACCAUAGUUAUCCUCUCUAUUCUGCUACCAUCGCCCAUAUACUAGAUUGCUCUACUCUCUAUUCCCAUAUUAUCACCUAUUGUUAUCUUAUCUUUAAUAUUGUUCUCAUUCAAUUCUACCAUCUUUCCUAUUUACACUUAUCUAUCUAUCUUGGUUAAGUUAGAGCGUAGUUGGUUUUCCCGUUUCCCUGUGGAUACGAUAAAACCUUUAACCGGGUAAAAGCUUCAACGGUAUACGUGCGCUUGCGGAUUAUCUGUGUGUGUAUAAAUACCAUAGUACACUCUAGUGCCAUGCUGGGGAUGACAACCUAGUAUUCAAGUGGUGUUAGCAAGUGUCAACAAGCAUUUUUGGCGCCGUUGCCGGGGAAACGGUUGCUGAGUUGACUACGAACUAGCUUAAUCAUUUUCUAAAAAAAUAAAAAAAAAAUAUAUUCUUUUCCUUUUAUCCUUUGCCUCAUCUCUGCUAUUCUUUCUUCUUAUCUAAUCCUUAAUCUCUGGUCUAUCAUGAAUUCAAACAUGUCUAUCUACGAAUUUCAUAGACCUACGGGCACACAUCUCGAACCACCAAAAUCUUCAAAGCCUAUCAUAGCAUCUAGUUUUGAGAUAGACCCCGAAUACAUAGAAUUUGUUCAAAAACAACCUUUCUCAGGAGAAGGUGAGGAAAACCCAUACACACACCUAAGAGAGUUUUAUCGAGUCUGUGACCUCCUUCGCAUAGAAGGAAUGUCCGAUGAGAC